AUGCACGCUGGCGGCGUGCCUAAUCCAUGCAAGUCGCGCGCACGGACGAGAAGCUUGCUUCUCUGAUGUUAGCGGCGGACGGGUGAGUAACACGUGGAUAACCUACCUAUAAGACUGGGAUAACUUCGGGAAACCGGAGCUAAUACCGGAUAAUAUUUUGAACCGCAUGGUUCAAAAGUGAAAGACGGUCUUGCUGUCACUUAUAGAUGGAUCCGCGCUGCAUUAGCUAGUUGGUAAGGUAACGGCUUACCAAGGCAACGAUGCAUAGCCGACCUGAGAGGGUGAUCGGCCACACUGGAACUGAGACACGGUCCAGACUCCUACGGGAGGCAGCAGUAGGGAAUCUUCCGCAAUGGGCGAAAGCCUGACGGAGCAACGCCGCGUGAGUGAUGAAGGUCUUCGGAUCGUAAAACUCUGUUAUUAGGGAAGAACAUAUGUGUAAGUAACUGUGCACAUCUUGACGGUACCUAAUCAGAAAGCCACGGCUAACUACGUG
rnacentral:rRNA from 1 species